rnacentral:lncRNA from 1 species
GGGAUACUGGAGUGAUGGAUGUAGAUAUGUAUAGGGGGAAGGAGACAGGGAUACUGGAGUGAUGGAGGUAGAUAUGUAUAGGGGACAGGGAUACUGGAGUGAUGGAGGUAGAUAUGUAUAGGGGGAAGGAGACAGGGAUACUGGAGUGAUGGAGGUAGAUAUGUAUAGGGGGAAGGAGACAGGGAUACUGGAGUGAUGGAGGUAGAUAUGUAUAGGGGGAAGGGGACAGGGAUACUGGAGUGAUGGAGGUAGAUAUGUAUAGGGGACAGGGAUACUGGAGUGAUGGAGGUAGAUAUAUAUAGGGGACAGGGAUACUGGAGUGAUGGAGGUAGAUAUGUAUAGGGGGAAGGAGACAGGGAUACUGGAGUGAUGGAGGAAGAUAUGUAUAGGGGGAAGGGGACAGGGAUACUGGAGUGAUGGAGGUAGAUUUGUACAGGGGA